rnacentral:rRNA from 1 species
UACGUAGGGGGCAAGCGUUGUCCGGAUUUAUUGGGCGUAAAGAGCUCGUAGGCGGCUCAGUAAGUCGGGUGGGAAACCUCCAGGCUCAACCUGGAGACGCCACUCGAUACUGCUGUGGCUUGAGUCCGGUAGGGGAGCGCGGAAUUCCUGGUGUAGCGGUGAAAUGCGCAGAUAUCAGGAGGAACACCGGUGGCGAAGGCGGCUCUCUGGACGGUGACUGACGCUGAGACGCGAAAGCGUGGGGAGCAAACAGG